AGCGGCGGACGGGUGAGUAAUACGUGGGUAAUCUAUCCUCGAGCCCGGGAUAACCCUGCGAAAGCGGAGCUAAUACCGGAUAAGACCACAUAGCAUAAGCUGUGUGGUAGAAGGUGGCUUGUAUUUAUACUUGCUAUCACUUGAGGCUGAGCCCAUGGCCUAUCAGCUUGUUGGUGAGGUAAAAGCUCACCAAGGCUAUGACGGGUAGCUGGUCUAAGAGGACGACCAGCCACACUGGGACUGAGACACGGCCCAGACUCCUACGGGAGGCAGCAGUGGGGAAUAUUGGGCAAUGGGCGAAAGCCUGACCCAGCGACGCCGCGUGGGUGAUGAAGGCCUUCGGGUUGUAAAGCCCUUUCGUGUGGAAAGAACACUCCCGCGACUAAUACUCGCGGGAAUUGACGGUACCACAGGAAGAAGCACCGGCUAACUCCGUGCCAGCAGCCGCGGUAAUACGGAGGGUGCGAGCGUUGUUCGGAAUUACUGGGCGUAAAGGGCGCGUAGGCGGCAGUGAUAGUCAGGUGUGAAAUCCUUCGGCUUAACCGGAGAACUGCAUCUGAAACUUCACAGCUAGAGUACAGGAGAGGGAAACGGAAUUCCCGGUGUAGAGGUGAAAUUCGUAGAUAUCGGGAGGAACACCAGUGGCGAAGGCGGUUUCCUGGCCUGAUACUGACGCUGAGGCGCGAAAGCGUGGGGAGCAAACAGGAUUAG
rnacentral:rRNA from 1 species